GACGAACGCUGGCGGCGUGCUUAACACAUGCAAGUCGAACGGAAAGGCCCUGCUUUUGUGGGGUGCUCGAGUGGCGAACGGGUGAGUAACACGUGAGUAACCUGCCCUUGACUUUGGGAUAACUUCAGGAAACUGGGGCUAAUACCGGAUAGGAGCUCCUGCUGCAUGGUGGGGGUUGGAAAGUUUCGGCGGUUGGGGAUGGACUCGAGGCUUAUCAGCUUGUUGGUGGGGUAGUGGCUUACCAAGGCUUUGACGGGUAGCCGGCCUGAGAGGGUGACCGGCCACAUUGGGACUGAGAUACGGCCCAGACUCCUACGGGCGGCAGCAGUGGGGAAUAUUGCACAAUGGGCGGAAGCCUGAUGCAGCAACGCCGCGUGCGGGAUGACGGCCUUCGGGUUGUAAACCGCUUUCGCCUGUGACGAAGCGUGAGUGACGGUAAUGGGUAAAGAAGCACCGGCUAACUACGUG
rnacentral:rRNA from 1 species